rnacentral:rRNA from 1 species
GCGGCAUGCCUUACACAUGCAAGUCGAACGGUAACGCGGGGCAACCUGGCGACGAGUGGCGAACGGGUGAGUAAUGCAUCGGAACGUGCCCAGUAGUGGGGGAUAGCCCGGCGAAAGCCGGAUUAAUACCGCAUACGACCUACGGGUGAAAGCGGGGGACCGUAAGGCCUCGCGCUAUUGGAGCGGCCGAUGUCGGAUUAGCUAGUUGGUGGGGUAAAGGCCUACCAAGGCGACGAUCCGUAGCUGGUCUGAGAGGACGACCAGCCACACUGGGACUGAGACACGGCCCAGACUCCUACGGGAGGCAGCAGUGGGGAAUUUUGGACAAUGGGGGCAACCCUGAUCCAGCCAUGCCGCGUGCGGGAAGAAGGCCUUCGGGUUGUAAACCGCUUUUGUCAGGGAAGAAACGCGUCGGGCUAAUACCCCGGCGUAAUGACGGUACCUGAAGAAUAAGCACCGGCUAACUACGUGCCAGCAGCCGCGGUAAUACGUAGGGUGCAAGCGUUAAUCGGAAUUACU